UACGUAGGGGGCGAGCGUUGUCCGGAUUUAUUGGGCGUAAAGAGCUCGUAGGCGGUUCGGUAAGUCGGAUGUGAAAUCUCCACGCUCAACGUGGAGGGGCCAUUCGAUACUGCCGUGACUCGAGUCCGGUAGGGGAGUGUGGAAUUCCCGGUGUAGCGGUGAAAUGCGCAGAGAUCGGGAGGAACACCCGUAGCGAAGGCGGCACUCUGGGCCGGUACUGACGCUGAGGAGCGAAAGCGUGGGGAGCGAA
rnacentral:rRNA from 1 species